rnacentral:sRNA from 1 species
GUCGACUAACGUGCCCGCAUAGUUUUUGUUGUCUUCACUCACUUCAGCCGGGAUCGCCACUUUAUAACGUUCAUGGCUACGAAUCGC